rnacentral:lncRNA from 1 species
AUUGCUAACUGGUGGUAGAGCAGAGGUGGUACCUCUAGUCUCUGAAGAAAUCUGUGCCAUCCAGUUUCCUUCAGUCAUCCCAAAGCUAAGGAAUUUGCAUCACGGGCCAGAAUGCAAGGAUGAUUGAAUGAGCCCGCCAUCUUCCUUCUGAGCCCAGCAGAGGCUCCAGAGUGCUCUCCACACUGCAGGACCUCUGGAUCACCUCGGGAUCACAGUUAUUGUUCUAGAAAUUUCCUCUCUCUGGAUAAUCAGAAUGAAGUGAAGUACUUGCAAAGCAACAGUAUGGAUCAUUGCAAUCUUGCAGAAACACGAUACAUGACCCAAAUGGCUGUUCCACUGACCACUGAUGCAGAUUGACCACUGAUGCUAUUGGUUGAAAGUUUCCAUCCCUACUUCUCAGUGCUACUUGUGGGACCAACCAAACUGUCUAUAAUGGAAUGACUCUUUGAUGGCAAUUUUUCUCUUUCCUUGUCCAGUCUAUCCCUCCUUCACUAAAGAGGAUUUUUGACAAAAGAGAAUAUAAACUUGAAAAAGAGCAAAGAGGCAUGUGGGAGGGCUUAAGGGAAGAAAGGGGAGGCUAUGGCAUGGGGGAGGGUGUUCAGUAUAAUGGCCAGGCAGAAAGAGACAUGCAGUAAAAAACAAAGAAAUUUAUGGAAACAAAAAGUCUUAAGUGUAUUCAUG